CAGCUCAGUACUCCCUAAAGGGCACUUUGAAGGAAAGUUCAAUCAAUGGAAGGGUCAAAUGUUUUCUUUUUCAAACGUCCAUUUUGCAUGUAAUGGCUGCUCUGUUCAGACUUUACGGGGCGUCCUUCUCUUGUUCAUGAGAUCUGGGGUCCUUCUGCGCAAAUGCAUGUGCUAUGGGAGCGACGUGUCUAGUGAGGAGGAAAGACACAGACCACAGAAGGAAUGUGUGGCACUGAAUAAAGAAGGUACUCUAACCGAGGGACAUUGGCAGGGGAGUAGAGAGAAAGGAAGAAUUCAUUCUGGUUGAGUUUAAGGUUCGAAUAUGGGAACAAAAUGCUUGGCCACGAGACAAGGUCAUGAAAUAUGAAACUGCAACAUGUGUGAUGUGUCUUAACUCUUCACGUCAAAGAAGCCUCACGUACGAGAAUCUAAUCUUAGGAAAAUCAGGUGAGACGGUUACAUUAUAAACAGGUGCUUUGCUUUCCAAAAAAAAAGAUUCUUUCUUUAUUUUUUUUUUAAUUUUUUUUUCAACUUUUUUUUUUAAUUUAUUUUUGGGACAGAGAGACAGAGCAUGAACGGGGGAGGGGCAGAGAGAGAGGGAGACACAGAACCGGAAACAGGCUCCAGGCUCUGAGCCAUCAGCCCAGAGCCCGGCACGGGGCUCGAACUCACGGACCGCGAGAUCGUGACCUGGCUGAAGUCGGACGCUUAACCGACUGCGCCACCCAGGCGCCCCAAAGAUUCUUUAAAUAACAAGUGUAUCUUAUGUUUUACUAGGAACUAACAAAGAGGGCAUAGAUUUAGAUAAAAGACUUUUGAAAUGUUAAUGUAUCUACGUGAAAAUAUGGUUCAAGCUAUAAACAUGUUAUUGCACGUGACUUUUCAGAAUAUUUCUGUUGCACAAACCAAACUAUACCUUUAAUUGUGUUAGCAAAUCACAACCAAUAUUUGGUAAGCGCAAACAUGUUGAUAUGAAUAUACUCAACAAACUCCAUUGGCUGACAGGCUCCCACUAUGGGUUACUUGGCAAAAAGCCAUUGGGAUGGAUUCUGAAAAAGGUCUUCCUUUAGUUUUCCUUCCAGGCUGCACAUUAAAAUCAUAUAGGGGGCUUUUUAAAAAAAAUUUUUUUAACGUUUAUUUAUUUUUGAGACAGAGAGAGACAGAGCAUGAACGGGGGAGGGGCAGAGAGAGGGAGACACAGCAUCUGAAACAGGCUCCAGGCUCCGAGCUGUCAGCACAGAGCCCGACGUGGGGCUCGAACUCACGGACCGUGAGAUCAUGACCUGAGCCGAAGUCGGCCGCUUAAC
rnacentral:lncRNA from 1 species